GCUUGUCUCAAAGAUUAAGCCAUGCAUGUCUUAGUGUAAAUAACUCUUAUGAAACUGCGAAUGGCUCAUUAAAUCAGUUAUCAAAUACGUGAUGGUCGCCUACUACAUGGAUAACCGUAGUAAUUCUAGAGCUAAUACAUGCGUCAAUACCCUUCUGGGGUAGUAUUUAUUAGAUUGAAACCAACCGCUUCGGCGUGAUGUGGUGAUUCAUAAUAACUCCUCGAAUCGCAUGGCCUUGCGCCGGCGAUGUUUCAUUCAAAUUUCUGCCCUAUCAAUUUGAUGGUAGGAUAGAGGCCUACCAUGGUGGUAACGGGUGACGGAGAAUUAGGGUUCGAUUCCGGAGAGGGAGCCUGAGAAACGGCUACCACAUCCAAGGAAGGCAGCAGG
rnacentral:rRNA from 1 species